rnacentral:lncRNA from 1 species
UAUAAAUCAUAUGAAUUUCUCACUAAGAUAAUUUAAUAGUAAAUUUUAAGUAUUCUUUUAUGAUUAUAUAUAUUACCAUUUUCAUUCUUAACUUGAUACAGUGCACUUUUUCUACAAUAAUCUUAAUUCUUAUAAUUAUUCUAGUAGGUUUCUUUGGUAGUGGGAAAUUUGUUCCAGUUUAGGGAUUUUGUACCCUUGUCUUAAGUUGAAAUUUCAUUUUUAUACCCCUGAAUCUCUUACCUACUAGAACAUCAUUCACCUGUGAAAAUGUUUCCCAUGUGGAUUUAUUCUAUUCCCCUUAGUAAAAUUAGUUCCGGGGAUAUAUAAGUGGGAAAAUUUGAUUUCUUUUUUUUAAAGUUUACUUGUUCUACUUAUAAUCUGUGAGUAUGUGAUAACCUUCAAAUUAGAGUCACUGCCAACAGAUCUUCUGUAAAACUGUAAAAAAACAGGCAUAAAGAUAAUGUAAUAGCAGUAGAGAAGAAGACAUUAUACAGGUCUAUAUGUUUGUAGUUUGGUAGAUAGUACAAACAUGAAAGUUUUGUUUUUUCUCAGUAAAAUAGGAAGUGACAUUAUAGAGAACAGAGAGAGAGUCAUGAAUAAUUGAGGAAAGGAAGAAGGUGGUUAAAAUAACAAGGAAAAUGGAAGGAUAAAUAUACUCUUGGGAUGACUGGCUAGGUAGUACCUAAAAUACUUAAGUGUCUUUAAAGUUUCUGGUUGUUAAUUUAAGUGAGAUUAGUCAACAUGUUUUGAGUUUUUCUCCAGUUAAUUUCCGCAUGGGUGCCAUCUCUAUGCAUAGGCUCAGAGUUGAAUUUGAUGAAAAUUGAGAUUUUUAAAGGUAAAUAUGACAAAUUUGGAGGAAAGCAAAAGUAUUGAUAUUCAAGAGAUUGAUUAUAAUGAGUCACAAUGAAAGUAUUCUGGUUAAGGAGUAAAGUAAGAGAAAGUUGAGAUGUGGUAGAAAAUGGUAUAGCCAAUUGUAAAUUUCAGUAUAGUUGUAGAUGUGUUAAAGUUUCUUACUAGUAGUAGGAACUAGAAAUUUGGUUGUUUGAAAUAAGAACAGGGUGACUAAAAUUGAAAAUAUCAGUGCAGUGAUUAAUGACUGAAGUUCUAGGAUGUGAAGAUGGGAAUAGGAUGAGGCCAAAUAAUGGAAAGAGAUGAAUUUAAGAAAUUAAUAAGAAAAGUUUGAAAGUAUUAUGUAAGUGGAUUUUGAAAUUGUCAAGAAUUAUGACAAGAGCCAAGGAGUAAAUUAUCCUUAGAGCAUAUAAAUGUCAAAUAUGUAAGAAACAAUAAUUUAAAAACUUUAAAACUCUUGAGUCCCUAUCCUGCAAUACUGACAGGGAAUUAAAUAAUAAACUAUUUGACUUUACUGAGAUAUAAUGGUUUUAUGAGGAUGGGUUUUAAAUUGAAAUCUUGUAUCUAUGACUUGACUUUUAGCCUAACUUGACUUUUUUUCCUCAUUUUCCAUGGGGAUAAUAGUAUCUACUUUAAGGUUGUAAAGACAAUUUGGUGAACAUAAAUACUGAAUACAAGUCUGAUAUAUGCUAUUCAAGUAUUAUGUUAGCUCUCAUGGUAGUGGUUUUCAGCUGUAUUAAUUUCUUUAACAUUUCUGAUACAAUAAUUUUGGAAGGAAAAAUGUAUUAAGCUUACAAUUCUGAAGGUCCAAGAAUAUGCCACUGACCUUUUAACUCUCAGGGUUCCAAGGUGUAUGGCAUCACAGAGGCAGGAGUGCAUGGUGAGAAGAGAUCACAUAGUGAAACAGGAAAAUCAAGAGAGUGGGAAGGGGCUAGUCUUGCUCUUUUGCAGGAACCCCUUUCUUGGGAAUUAACUGGGUUCCCACAAGAACUAUUAAAUCUUGGCUGAGGGUGAUGUCCCUAAUGACCCCAGUCAUUAGGGUUACUAGGCUGGUACAAGGUUCCACUUUUACAGUUUUCUCCAUUUCAAAACUGCCACACUGAGGAACAAGCUGCCAACGUUUAUACCCUUGGAGGACAAGCUGAAACUGCCAUACUAUAGUAUCAGCUCAUCUCAUUUCUGAGUUGUGUGAAUAUUCUUAAGUGUUAUAAAACCUCAGUCAUUCUUCCAUUUUAAUUAUCACUUAGAUGCCCAACACUUCCACUGGUUUCUUGCCUCACUUGGAGGAUGAUGCUGUUUAACAAAUUUAGGAACUUAAAUAUUGAGGAUUUAAGUAUCAUACAAAUAUACCCUACCUAUUCUCACUUCAUAAAUAGAGCAUAUGGCCCAAGUGUCGAAUUUGAAAGAUUUCUAGAAAUUGUUCAGAAACUUUUUUUCCCCUUCUGGAUAGAAAUAGACCUAGAUGUGUUAACCAUAAUCCUGUCAGUAAUCUAAUGAUAGUUCCUGGUCAUUCCUGAGUCCAAAAAAGGAGUUAUCAUGGUAUUGAGAAAGUACUGAUAAUAUAAUUUGAGCCUACUUAGUUCCCUGUUUCUUUUUCUUCUUACUAGAGGAUUUGGCAUGUAACUGGCAGUGUAUAGGUCAAAUACAUUACAGCUGAGGGUGAAAAGUGAAAUUUUAUCUAAAGGAAAUUUCAUCUAAAGGAAGAAGCAUCGUACUACAAAAUCAAGUGGGAAACUAGGUAUUAGGCAGCUGAAAACAAAAGUAUUACUGCAAUGUAAGAUAUGUAAAAUUUAUUCUUAUGGUUUUCCAUUUGUGCCUCCAUCCAAGGCUGGACUAGUGUGAGGUGAAUGUGACACCAAGGGUAUAAUAUAUAAGGAGGCAGUUUCUCUCAGAAUGGCACAAAUACCCUUCACCCAGUCCUAUUCAUGAUUGUGCCUUUUGUAUUGAUAACAUGAACAGAAACAGCAUAAUCAAUCCUUAUUAGGUAAAUCACCAAAGGGCAAUAGUUUUCAAGUUGCUGUUUUAGAUUCUAUUUAGAAAAUACUGUUGUGCAAAUGAGACUCCUUCAGAAUCAAGUCCAAAAUAUUCUUUCAAAGAAGGAAAGGGAAGAAGUCAGUACCUAUGAAGCAUUUAACACUCAAAUGGUAUUUUGCUUAAUGGUGAUAGUAGUUAUUUUAUCUUUAUUCCACUUCCCUUUGUAGUAGAAAGUUCUUCAUGUCUCAUCUGUAAGAAUAACAUAUACAUUACAUCAAUUGUCUUUACUAAUACAUAUAAAAAUGGUAACUUCAUUGGGAUUAUUCAGAAGAAAUGAGAGCUAAUCAUAUGUGUCAGUAACACAAAAGGUAGAACUGAUGGUUCUUAAGGGAAAUAGAGAAUUUCCACUUCAAGUACUUUACUGUAUAUCCUACCCUGAGAUUUCAUGCAAAGUAGAGAGGUACAGUAUUCACAUGAAAGUCAUGAGGGUACAGGGAGCAAGACAAUUUAUAAGCUUUAAAGCAACAUGGAAAGUGAUAGGAUAUUGACAGAAAUUUAAAAUAUUAAUGAUUAAUAUACAAAGACCUGAGAGGCAAUUAUAUCUAUUUUUAAAACGUAUCAAUUAAAAAUGAGAAAAGGGGUAUUUGACUUUAAAAGAACAAUUCUAAAAUAAUUGUAUCUUUUUAAAAUUAUGAGGGAGCACUUAUGGUCCUUAUGUGCUGAAUGAAAAAUCUAAAAAUUCAAGAAGAAAAUAUGAGCAAUUGUAUGAAACUUUUCAGAGCUUAGAAAGAUUGGUAUACAAAAUACUGCUUUACAUUUUUCUUGGGAACAUAAGUAAACAUUACAAAAACGUUCAUGGAAUUCAUAGUACCAACUGUGUGAGGUAAUAGUUUCUUCUGUGGAAGGAAAAGAUGAAAAAAAUUCUAUGGUUUGUGGACAACUGUGUGUGUGUGUGUGUGUGUGUGUGUGUGUAUGUAUAUGUGUAUUAUGUUAUUUAAAGAUGUGUGUGUGUGUGUCUGUACAUGUCUAUUAUAUUAAAGAAGUUUUUGACAAAAUAUCAACUUCCAUUAAAUCUGAGUCAUGGGAAAUGGGGCCUCUUUUUUUUUUUUUUAAAUAGCCUUUCUGUAUAUUAGUGUUUCACAACUUAAACAAAAAUAAAAUAAUCAAAUGCCUAUAAACCAGUGUUUCUCAACCAUUUUUUCCCCUAUAUUGGCUUUGCGCCCAGGGAACAUGUUUUAGACUUUUUUUUUCAAUCCUAAUCACCUUCUGCAGUAUUUUAAAGCCACACUAUACUGUGUAUCUGUUUAUGUGUCCAUAUGGAUACAGAGUAAGAUUUUUCUCCCUUCCCUGCCCCUGGAACCAAAUUAUAUACCACAUUAAGACACAUGAUCCUGUUCAAUAAAACAUUUUAAAAAUUAAGACCUUAAGAAAUCAUAGAGUGAAUUCUGUAACCGUAGCUGAUUUAAACUAGACAUCAAUAAUAGAAAAAAAGUACAUUGCUAAUAACAUGGGUUUAAAUGGACUAUUCAAGAGAAAUUAGAAAAUAUUUGAAUAACUGAGUAAAAAUAAAAAUACAAUAUCAAAAUUUGUGAGAUAUAACUAAAGGAG